rnacentral:rRNA from 1 species
UACCAGACUCCUACGGGAGGCAGCAGUGAGGAAUAUUGGUCAAUGGGCGGGAGCCUGAACCAGCCAAGUCGCGUGAGGGAAGACGGUCCUACGGAUUGUAAACCUCUUUUGCCGGGGAGCAACGGGGUCCUUGCGAGGGCCCGAUGAGAGUACCCGGAGAAAAAGCAUCGGCUAACUCCGUGCCAGCAGCCGCGGUAAUACGGAGGAUGCGAGCGUUAUCCGGAUUUAUUGGGUUUAAAGGGUGCGUAGGCGGCCGGGAAAGUCAGCGGUAAAAGCCCGGGGCCAACCCCCGGCGAGCCGUUGAAACUGUCGGACUAGAGACGGCGAGAAGUACGCGGAAUGCGCGGUGUAGCGGUGAAAUGCAUAGAUAUCACGCAGAACUCCGAUUGCGAAGGCAGCGUACCGGCGCCCAACUGACGCUGAGGCACGAAGGCGUGGGUAUCGAACAGGAUUAGAUACCCUAGUA